rnacentral:ncRNA from 1 species
CUGAUUGAUUCUGUCAGCGCGAUAUGCUCAAGUAAAAGAUUAAGCCAUGCAUGCUUUGAUUCAUCAAUGAAAUUGCGUACGGCUCAUUAGAGCAGAUAUCUCCUUGUUCGGAAUCCUAUAUGGAUAACUGCGGAAAUACUGGAGCUAAUACAUGCAACUAAACCCCAACGUAAGGCGGGGUGCAAUUAUUAGAACAGACCAAACGUUUUCGGACGUUGUUUGUUGACUCUGAAUAAAGCAGUUUACUGUCGGUUUCGAUCGACUCUAUCCGAAAAGGGUGUCUGCCCUUUCAACUAGAUGGUAGUUCAUUGGACUACCAUGGUUGUUACGGGUAACGGAGAAUAAGGGUUCGACUCCGGAGAGGGAGCCUUAGAAACGGCUACCACGUCCAAGGAAGGCAGCAGGCUUUUGUUAUUUCAUUACUUUUUUUUGAAAUAUCAAAAGAGAAGGAACAUGUGAAAUAGCUUCUACGAAUGUUUUUUGUUUGUAGUUUCUGAUUGGCUGGAUUACGUGGUUACCAGAAUUUUGC